AACCCUCGAUUUCUUUGUUGGUCUUCAAGAUACCCCUCCGCUCCUCAAUGUGUCGGUGAUCUCCCAAUCCCAGCCCUCUUUCUCACUCCACCGCCAAUGUCUUCUAUUCGAAUCGACGCAUCAAAGCAGCACUACACCACCACCUUCCUCGUAGUCGGUUACGCGUUCUGCUCCAGUCUCCUCGCCAUCAUCAACAAAUAGGCCAUCACUCAAUUCAACUAUCCCGGCCUCUUAACCGCACUCCAGUACCUCACUUCUGCCCUUGGCGUCUAUCUUCUCGGCAAAUUAGGGUUCCUCCACCACGACCCCUUUACUCUUGACACCGCCAAGCGCUUCUUCCCUUGAGGUUUUCGAUGCUCUGAAAUCCGGUUCCGGGAGCUUGUUUGAUCCCAGUGCUCUUGCUGCUGUUGGGCUAUCCUGUGUUUUUGGAUUGGCGAUUAGUUUCUUUGGCUUUGCGGCAAGGAAGCAAAAGGUUCUUCCUCUGAUCCUUUCUUCCGAAUAAUUGUUCCAUCUUCUUGUUUACAUGAAUAUAUAUAACUGCAAACAAUUGAAAACAUUAAUUAAGAACUUAAGAUAGUAAGAGCCUAACAGUUCAACCUUCAACUUCUUCUGCAAGACAUUAUUUUGUAACUCUAUCUAUAUCUAUAUCAAUUCUACUGAGCUUUAUAGAGAUCAUGCAGAAGAGUGAUAUGCCAGGGUAAGAAGAGCAAGUUGGCCAAGGCUAGUCGAAUCGAUGUUUCUAAGUGGCGCCUUCCGCUGCUGCGCAGCAACAUGUUCGAGUUCACUGCAAAACAUAUUGUACUGAUCAUGGUCGAGAUUGGAAAUUAUGAUUUAUUCUAUGAGAAAGGAGUGGUUUUUACUCCACAGUAGGUGAUGAGUUUGGAAAACUCUAAAUUAAAAAUGUAGAAAGAGAAGCAAUCAAGUGUUUUUGAACAAAUAAACUAAAGUGGCUAUUGGUAGCGUGCAGCACUAUGACAAUCAAUCAACUUAGCUGCAAAUUUUUCUCUCAUAUUUCCCAUGCAAUAAAUGAUAAUUUAAUGAAAUUUGGGAUCCAUCACAUGGUAAAAUGCUUGGAUCCGUUGGAAGCAAUUUUUGCUUUCUUCUUCACUUGAUUUCGGAUCAAGCAUGAGGAACAUUCAUCAAAAUUAAAAUUGGGCUUAGUAGCAACAACAUUUAGUCUGGCCCAAUAAUGGCAAUGUUUGAGUUCUGGCCCAACUAAUCACAAAUUGCUUCAGCCACAUAUUAUAGGAAACAUACAGAAUGUUGGUUUUGAUUUGGGCUUACAAUAUUUCUUUUAUGUUUCGGCCCAAAUAAAACCUGCAUUGCAAAAAUUAAUUUAAUCAACAUAUUAAUAUUUUUGCAAUUAAUCAAAUUAAUAAUAUUAAUAAUGUUUGGUCAUCACAUUUUUAAUUUAGAGUUUUCCAAACUCAUCAAUCUCCCCCUUGAUGACAAACAUUAUUAAAAUUGAAAUGGAAAAAAAUUAAAAAAUUUGAGUAUAGAAUACUCCCUUUGAAUAUUUGAAUUUCUCUCCCUUUCCAAUUGUCACAAGGCUCCCCUUAAUAUAUGUCAUUUUUACCAAGGGAAGCACUAACCUGUAACAUUUUAAUCAAGCUUCAAGUAACAAUGUUAUUUAGCAUAUUCAUUACAUGAUGCUAAAUGCUUGAUUUAUGAGUAGAAUUGGAUGAUAAUCAAAAAUCUUUUGUUAUCAAUAAAUUGAUUUUCUGCUCAAACAUUACACACAUCAAUUGAGUACAAAACAAUGUUGUUCAAAAAUUUUCAAAUAUUUCCCAGUGAAGAUAUCAGAGCAAUAUUAUUCAAGUAAGGAAAAUAUUUUUGAAUCACACAUGAUCACAUCAAAACAUGGCAGAAUUAUCAAGCCAGCAUGUUUACCAAGAUGAAUCAGAAUAUUCUUAUUUUAAUAAAGGCAUGUUCAUCAAGAUAAAUCAACAAUCAGGCAUUCAUAAAAUCAAAACAAAUGUAUUGUCAAACAUCAUCAUAAACCAAAUGCCAAAUGCAUUUCCAGCCGCAGUAAUCAUAGUGAAACAAAUGCAAUAACAUGCAUCCUUUUAACAAGGGUAAUCAUGAAUUCUCAAACGAAAAUUUCAUCCCCAGUUUUCUUUUCCACCUCUGUUUUUCAUAUUUCAAUUUUCAGCUUUUCUCCCCUUUUUGUCUAUCAAAGGGGCACCUGCAAGAAAUGUUUAACAUAGAAAACAGAGUAUGCAAAAGAUAACUCAAAACAUAAUCCAAAAGUGUUAACAGAGUAUCACAUGGUUAUACUACUAUCAGUCUCCAACUUAACAAAAUAAAGUAACAAAUUGAGCCAAAGUGUGCCAAUAUCAAACAGUAAACAAAAAUUUAAUCAUCAGAGAGAUUAAAGUCCGAGUCCUCUGUCUCACUACCCACUUCAUCAUCAAGGCUCUCCAGCAUUAGGCUAACCUUAUCCUUGCAUUUCUUCCAGGCCGACUCAUUUUCAUAUGAUAGUUUGCGAACAGAUUUAUGAAAUUGAACCAUGAGGUCGGACAUGUUGGAGAAUUCUGUGAGAAUAUCUCUGAGUGAUUCGGCAGCCUUGGAGGAUUCUGGCCUACUUUCAAAAUCAUCAUCAGAAGCUAUAGACUUCUUUCCCUUUUUAGUAGCGCCGCCUCCUUUAAUCAUAGAGACCUUGUUUUCUACAUCCUCAUUUGUUAAAUCUACCUUAAAGUACUCAAAAAUGCACGUGAGAAACAUUCCAUAAGGUAAAUUAGCCUUUUUUGUAUUUUUUACAGAUUUUCACAUAUGUCUAAUCAUGAGGUAACUAAAUGAAAUAGACGAUGAAGUAACGAGAGCAAAGAUUAUGAGACAAUCAGAUACUGUUAUCCUGUUAUGAGAGCCACUCUGUGGGGUGAGAAUGUGAGUUGUAAUGCCGUGCAGUAGUGAGUUGGUUGGUCCCAAAGCUUUGUGAGUAGGAACGGUUACGUCCAGUCCAGACAGAUUUUCACAAAUUUGAUGAAGAACUUGCUUGUAUGCAAUCCCAACGUGUGAAUCCCAUUUAUCACUCAUGUAAACCUUCGGCCCUUCAGUGUAACCAAGGGCAGAAGCAAUGGUCUCAGCAUUCAGAGUGAUAUGCACACGUUUCACGUAGGGAGUGAAGACUGCCAUCAAUAAAUCUUAGAUUCGCAUAAAACUGUCUCACCAACCCCUGGGUAAACCAUUUUGUGAAUAAGGAGCAAUGAUGACCAUUUGAGACUAUUAAACAGGGGUUGUAGAUUGAUUCCUUUGGAGGUCAGAGACUUGAGAUUCACCAAGUAGGAGGGGGCACAGAUGUCGCUUUUCCAAAACCUCUUUGUGGAAUUCAUAGAAAGCACAUGUAGAAAACCUUGAAGGAUCAAAAUGGGAGUGUGGUUUCUGAAAUUUAUUCUUGAACUCCAUUGAACCAAGGUUCGUGGGUUCUCUGGUCUCAUGAAGCACGAAAUUCUUGGUCUUUUGAGAGCUUUUUCCGGAUGCAUGGGGUGUGGAUUUCUUCGGUGGUGAAGCAGGGAAGAAGAGGAAGAGGAAUCUCAUACAUCACCUCCUGCUUCACCACCGAAGAAAUCCACUCCCAUGCAUCUGGAAAAAGCUCUCAAGAGACCAAGGAUUUUGUGCUUCAUGAGACCAGAGAACCCACGAACUUAGGUAAAUGGAGUUCAAGAAUAAAUUUCACAAACCACACUCCCAUUUUGAUCCUUCAAGGUUUUCUACAUGUGCUUUCUAUGAAUUCCACAAAGAGGUUUUGGAAAAGCAGCAUCUGUGUCCCUCCUACUUGUGAAUCUCGAGUUUCUAGCCUCCAAAGGAAUCAAUCUACAACCCCUGUUUGAUAGUCUCAAAUGGUCACCAUUGCUCCUUAUUCACAAAAUGGUUUACCCAGGGUUGGUGAGAGAGUUUUAUGCGAAUCUGAGAUUUAUUGAUGGCAGUCUUCACUCCUACGUGAAAUGUGUGCAUAUCACUCUGAAUGCUGAGACCAUUGCUUCUGCCCUUGGUUACACUGAUGAAGGGCCGAAGGUUUACAUGAGUGAUAAAUGGGAUUCACACGUUGGAUUGCAUACAAGCAAGUUCUUCAUCAAAUUUGUGAAAAUCUGUCUGGACUGGACGGAACCGUUCCUACUCACAAGGCUUUGGGACCAACCAACUCACUACUGCACCGCAUUACAACUCACAUUCUCACCCCACAGAGUGACUCUCAUAACAGGGUAACAGUAUCUGAUUGUCUCAUAAUCUUUGCUCUCGUUACUUCAUCGUCUAUUUCAUUUAGUUACCUCAUGAUUAGACAUAUGUGAAAAUCUGUAAAAAAUACAAAAAAGGCUAAUUUACCUUAUGGAAUGUUUCUCACGUGCAUUUUUGAGUACUUUAAGGUAGAUUUAACAAAUGAGGAUGUAGAAAACAAGGUCUCUAUGAUUAAAGGAGGCGGCGCUACUAAAAAGGGAAAGAAGUCUAUGGCUUCUGAUGAUGAUUUCAAAAGUAGGCCAGAAUCCUCCAAGGCUGCCGAAUUCCUCAGAGAUAUUCUCACAGAAUUCUCCAACAUGUCCGACCUCAUGGUUCAAUUUCAUAAAUCUGCUCGCAAACUGUCAUAUGAAAAUGAGUCGGCAAAUGCAAGGAGAGGGUUAGCCUAAUGCUGGAGAGCCUUGAUGAUGAAGUGGGUAGUGAGGCAGUGGCAGAGGACUCGGACUUUAAUCUCUCUGAUGAUUAAAUUUCUGUUUAGUGUUUGAUAUUGGCACACUUUGGAUCAAUUUGUUACUUUAUUUUGUUAGGUUGGAGACUGAUAGUAGUAUAACUAUGUGAUACUCUGUUAACACUUUUUGAUUAUGUUUUGAGUUAUCUUUUGCAUACUUUGUUUUUUAUGUUAAACAUUUCUUGCAGGUGCCCCUUUAAUGACAAAAGGGGAGAAAAGCUGAAAAUUGAAAUAUGAAAAACAGAGGUGGAAAACAGGGGAUGAAAUUUUCGUUUGAAAAUUCAUGAUCACCCUUAUUAAAAGGAUGCAUGUUGUUAUUGCAUUUG